rnacentral:ncRNA from 4 species
UACGGAGGGUGCGAGCGUUGUCCGGAUUUAUUGGGUUUAAAGGGUGCGUAGGCGGUUUAUUAAGUCAGUGGUGAAAGACGGUCGCUCAACGAUUGCAGUGCCAUUGAUACUGGUAGACUUGAGUUCGUAUGAGGUAGCUGGAAUGGAUAGUGUAGCGGUGAAAUGCAUAGAUAUUAUCCAGAACUCCAAUUGCGUAGGCAGGUUACUAAUACGAUACUGACGCUGAUGCACGAAAGUGUGGGGAUCAAACAGG